rnacentral:lncRNA from 1 species
GAGGGUUUCCAGAAGGAUGUGGGCAAAAGACAGAGUGGUUUGGAUGUGAUCUCCCACCCUUUUCUGAUUUGCUUCCGCAGCAGAGGCGGCUUUAUGUUGCUACUGUGCUAGAGAAGAAGGCCAGGUGGGAGAAAGCAAGAAGAGGCGAAGGAGCAGAAAGCCUGAAGCUGCUGCUGGACUGGGAGGCUGCACUGUUACCUCCAGGGCUGCGUCUGAGCUCUUCUCCUUUAUCUGCUGUAGUGACUGAUGGCAUCCUGGCAGCAGCGCGCUGCUCUGCAGCUUUGUCCAGGCUGGGCUUAGCCCUGUGUGCAGUGGGUGACUUUGUUCCCUUGUGCCUGCAGCACAUCCCUACCUGUUUGUAGGGCUGCUGUGUGCGUGCAGGGGCUCUGGGUGCUGGCGAUGCUGCUGCUCUGUGCUGUUGCUGGUACGUACAUCUGGUUGUAGAGGGAAAGGCUCCCGAAGAGAGGAAUGGGCAAAGCAAAAACAAAGCAUGCUCUUUUUUUUUUUUUUUUUUUCUUUUUUUCCUUGCUGCCAAUUGAAUCUGUUUUUUGGCUCUGGUCCUUAAUGCAGAAGCAGUUGGGAAGUGUCUCUGGAACGGAGCUCGUGUUUAAUUUUUAAAACCAUCUUUAAAGAUAAAUAAAAGCUGGGCAGAAUGAUACA